GUGGGGGAACGGUGGGGGCAGGGCCAGAGGAAGAGGGAGGGAGGCCCUCUGAAGCCGCGUGCGCGCAGCAAGCGGCAGAUCCUCAGCGCGUCCUGCUGGGAACGCAGCGGUUCCAGAUCUCUGCGCCUCUGCCGGGGUUCCCCUGGCCGGGGAAGGGACACGGCGGAGAGCCCGACAGGGGGACGCCAAAGGAAUUCCAGCGACGAAGGGACGCGGGUGGGAAAACACAGUCCCAGGAAGCGGACGCCGGGGGAGGCCAGGGCUGCAGCAGGGGGGCGCAGAGCGAGGCACCGGACCCUCCAAUCCCGCCGGCCCGGGCCCGGCACCGACCACAGGCCGGCGGACAUGGCCUCCCGCCCUCGGAGGAACUCGGAGCCGCCUUCUUACGAAAGCAGACGUUUCGUAGCAGUUAAAGCGAAAGCUCACUGGAGACAAGGGUGGAGUAGCCUACUCAGGACAGAGGGCGCGCCCACCGUCCUCGCUUUCGCCUCUGUGCUUCCAUUUUCCACGGUGUCCCCCGGCCGCCUCCCCGCCGCGUCUCCUUCCGCCCCGCCAUUUUGGACCUUUCCCACCAUGCAACGGGAACAUUGUCCUCAGUCAGUGUCCUGCCUCGCUGACAGGGCCUCUCCCAUCCCUCUGCAUAGCCUGGUUGAUGAGAACAGAGCACUUCUCAUUCCUCAUUAGUGUCUUCCUCUCGUCAGAUAAGGGGAGCUCCGGGAAGGCCUCUUUCUGCACCUGCUGAUUCUUAUUUGCCUGCAGUUCAAAAUACUCUUCAUGCCAACGUGGCACGUGUUGAGGGCCUAUUCUGUUCUUACCCUUCGGAAUCCUUUACUUAUGUCCUUCUGGUCUAUUGUUGUUUAAAAAACAAACAACUUUGUCAGUCUUAUAGACAAUACUCAGAUUUUUUCAUCACUGCCAAUUUAAUCCCAAAACCUUUUAUAUGAAUCCAUUUAGAGUAUGAUCUUGAGAGAAAGGGAAGUGGUUCAGAACGCAGCUAGCUGAAUUGGGAGUUCUGCCUGUUUGUGGGGAGGCAUUCUCUUAUUUAGUUCUUUGGGAUCAGUGUGGUGGGAAUUCAAGACACCUAGAGCCCAGCAACUGUCCUGUUGUCUUGUGGGGGUUCUGAGCAAUAAUCCAGAUCAUCACCCACUCGGAUUCUGCUUCUGACGUGGAAGUGGGAGUCUUCCAUUUUCUGGAUGGUUCUAGAGACAGAUGAGGGAAAGCCUAUGCAACUUCUUUGCCCUGUCCUCCCAACACUUGUCCUCAAAUAGCAACUGCUAAAUGUCUCACUUGGAGGGUGCAGAGGGGGAGAAAUGCCAGGUAAUACCUUUUAGUCUGUCUUGGGAAGUGAGGAUGCCAUACAACAUAAUUUGGAUUCUGCUGGUCCUAAAGGAUUAUGGGAUAUUGUGAGGUCUUUAACCUGUGGGGUCUAACACAAUCCUUGGGUAGCAUUCACUUAAAUUGUACAACACGCAGCUGGUAUCACAGAGAAUUGCUUGACUGGUGGUGGUGGGGGGGAGCCCACAUUGGGAUUUGGAGCAGAACUAGGGCUGUGAAACAAUGUUUGCUAUUCCUUAUUUCCAGAAAUCUUUCAUGCACACAUUUUCUCUCUUUUUAAAAAUUUUUUAGUUCCAGAGCUAGAAUUUAGUGAUUCAUCAGUUGCAUAUAACACACAGUGCUCAUUACAUUACAUUCCCUCAAUGCCCAUCACCCAGUUAUCCCCUCCCGCCACCGCCCCCAAUAACCCUCAGUUUGUUCCCUACAGCUAAGAGUUUCUUAUGGUUUGUAUCCCUCUCAAUUUUCAUCUUAUUUUUCUUCCCUUCCCCUAUGUUCAUGUUUUGUUUAUUAAAUUCCACAUGAGUGAAAUCAUAUGGUGUUUGCCUUUCUCUGACUUAUAUUACUUAACAUAAUACACUCUAGCUCCAUCCAUGUCGAUGCAAAUGAAAAGAUUUCAUGUUUUUUGAUGGCUGAAUAAUUAUAUAUAUAUAUAUGAGUCAGAGUGAAAAAUCCACGGUCCCUAAGGGGAAGAAUGGUGCUGCUUCUCCAGCCAAAAAGAAGGAAAUCCAUGCCCCUGAAGAGUUCAUUGCCUAUGCAGCCAAGGAGGGGCUCAAAGCCAAGGCUGCUGCUCCCCCCAGGGGUGGCAGGUCUAAGACGGUGCCUGAACCCCUGCCCAGGAAGACAGAGGCCCCCAGGGGCCCGAGGAGGCCAGGCAUGCCCACCAAGGCCUCAUUGUCCGAUCUGGCCAGUAGGAAGGCAGAAGCUGGAAGCUAGAGCUGGGGUGGAGACACGGAGAUCCUGACCAAGUUUUUAUUCCCCAACAAACCAUCACUCUAUUUAUUUCUUUGUAACCUAUUUAUCAAUAAAGGCUUUUUUCCCCUCACACACACAAAAACCAAAACCUCCCAUAUAUAUAUGUGUGUGUGUGUGUGUGUGUGUGUUUAUACACACACACACCUCCCACACCACACCUUUAUCCAGUCAUCUGUUGAAGGGCAUCUGGGCUCUUUCCAUAGUUCGGCUAUUGUGGGCAUUGCUGCUACAUUUUCAAAUGGAUGGCUACUCUGACUUGCUCAUUAUGGGAGGAAAUUUUGAAGUUUUUGUUUUUUCCCCAAAUAGUGAUGUGAGAAACAUUUCUCCAAACUAAACCAAGCCAAAUCAGGGAAGGCUUUAUUUCCGUUUUGGAAAUAUAGAACAUAUUUUGAAAAAAGGAAUUCCAAAGGUUAUGAAAAAUGUGAAGGUCCUUACAUUGCUACAUUGUCUCCCAGAAGCAAUAUUUGCAAAAUCCAGUUUUUGGAGUCUGCUAACUUUAUAGUGAAGAAGUCUUCUUUUAUGUUCCUAUUUCUUUUUUUUUAAGAUUUUAUUUAUUUAUUCGACAGGGAUAGAAACAGCCAGCGAGAGAGGGAACACAAGCAGGGGGAGUGGGAGAGGAAGAAGCAGGCUCAUAGCGGAGGAGCCUGAUGUGGGGCUCGAUCCUAUUUCUUAGUAAGUGGUAAGAGUGGUUUUUUUCUCCACAUCUAUGUUCUGAACAAAAGAUUCAAACAGCCAUGUUUUUGGGGUUUUGGAAUAUAAGUGAGGUUGGGUUGGGUGAGGUCUGGAGCCCAUGGCCAAGAGAGAAUUCUUGAGACGUCUCUGAUGUAAAAAAGCUGGCUUUAUUAAAGCAUAAGACAGAACCCCUGGGCAGAAUGAGCUGCUGCACUGGGGUUGUGAGGGGUGAUUAUAUACUAAGGGGUUGGGGGAGGUAAGGAAAGGGGAGUUUUCAAAAGGACUUUCAUAUGUUAAAAAGACUCACAGGAUACCGAGGCCUUGCCAUUGUCAAGGUUCUUUUUCCCUCUAACAAGGUGUUGACAUUAAGAUAGUUGGGAGCUUCCUGGAGAUAUUACACUCUGCCCGCUUCAAGUAUCUGUCAAUGGAUUGCAGAUUACAAAGAUGUUUCAUUGUAUCUACGUUUCUUCUGAAAGCUAGGUUAUUUUUUAAAAAGUAUUUUAUUUAUUUGAUAGAAAGACAGUGAGAGAGGGAACACAAGCGGGGGGAGUGGGAGAGGAAGAAGCAGGACUCUGGGAUCAUGCCCUGAACUGAAGGCAGACGCUCAAGGACUGAGCCACCCAGGCGCCCCUGAAAGCUAGGUUAUUGAUAGAAAUGCUUUGUUCUUGUAAAUUGCUAAGACAUUUGUCAACUGGGGGAUAUUCUUGUCUUGCAGGAUUGUGAUCUCUGUCAGUUAACUGUUUUUCCUUUCCUUAGCUUUAGGGCAGCAGGAGUGCCUGAGGAAUGUCACAAAUAUUCCGUGGGGGGGGGGAGGUGUCAGCUUCUGCUUUGCCCUCAGUUUGCCUUCUGUUCCCUCAACACACUCACCGGGUAUCAUUGAUAUUUGCUGAACUCCUUCCUCCCUUCCUCUCUCUCUUCUCUGCACGAAGUUCUUGAUCUACGCAACGGGUCAGGCGUACUGAGCUUGAAGCCCUCUUCUCACCAUCACUCCACAGAACUAGCCGUAGUUUACUCGUUACUCUUCCCAUUUACUGCAUUCUCAGGUCUGUGCCAAAAUAUUAAAAACACAUAAAACUGGAAGCAAUGUAACUCAGAAGAUUUUGCAUUUGUGUGGAGUAACAGACUCGUUUUUUAAAAUUUAAAAAUUAUGUACUGCUAAAUCACAGUGAUUGUUUUUAUUUUAACUGCGUGCUUGGCUGUUUUAAAAAAAAACAAAACAGAUUGCUCCUCCCCCCAUUUUUUCCCUUAAAGAAAUGCUAAUACAAGUCUUGGGUCUCUAGGGACUUCUUCAGCCCGCGCCUCCGGAUUCCUCCACCGGGAGAGGCGUGGGGCAGCGGACCCGAAACCUGUUCCCCCCGGGAAAGGACCGGACCGAGGGGGGUGGUUCACGCGGGGAGGCCGGU
rnacentral:lncRNA from 1 species